rnacentral:rRNA from 1 species
UACGUAGGGUGCAAGCGUUUGUCCGGAAUUAUUGGGCGUAAAGAGCUCGUAGGCGGUUUGUCGCGUCUGCUGUGAAAACCCGAGGCUCAACCUCGGGCCGCAGUGGGUACGGGCAGACUAGAGUGCGGUAGGGGAGAUUGGAAUUCCUGGUGUAGCGGUGGAAUGCGCAGAUAUCAGGAGGAACACCAAUGGCGAAGGCAGAUCUCUGGGCCGUAACUGACGCUGAGGAGCGAAGCAUGGGGAGCGAACGG